GCGCACGGGUGAGUAAUGCAUCGGAACGUGUCCGGUAGAGGGGGAUAACCAGUCGAAAGACUGGCUAAUACCGCAUACGCUGGAGACAGGAAAGCGGGGGACCUGGAAACGGGCCUUGCGCUAUCGGAGCGGCCGAUGCCCGAUUAGCUGGUUGGUGAGGUAAGAGCUCACCAAGGCGACGAUCGGUAGCUGGUCUGAGAGGAUGAUCAGCCACACUGGGACUGAGACACGGCCCAGACUCCUACGGGAGGCAGCAGUGGGGAAUUUUGGACAAUGGGGGCAACCCUGAUCCAGCCAUGCCGCGUGAGGGAAGAAGGCCUUCGGGUUGUAAACCUCUUUCGGGCGGGACGAAAUCGUUUGGGCGAAUAACCUGAGCGGAUGACGGUACCGCAAGAAGAAGCACCGGCUAACUACGUGCCAGCAGCCGCGGUAAUACGUAGGGUGCGAGCGUUAAUCGGAAUUACUGGGCGUAAAGCGUGCGCAGGCGGCUUUGCAAGCCAGACGUGAAAGCCCCGGGCUUAACCUGGGAAUGGCGUUUGGGACUGCGAGGCAGGAGUGCGGCAGAGGGAACUGGAAUUCCUGGUGUAGCAGUGAAAUGCGUAGAUAUCAGGAGGAACACCGAUGGCGAAGGCAGGUUCCUGGGCCGACACUGACGCUCAUGCACGAAAGCGUGGGGAGCAAACAGGAUUAGAUACCCU
rnacentral:rRNA from 1 species